rnacentral:rRNA from 1 species
UACGUAGGGGGGCAAGCGUUUGUCCGGAGUUACUGGGCGUAAAAGCGCACGCAGGCGGUCUCUUUAAGUUUUGGAGUGACAGUUGGUGGCUUAACUGCCAAAGUGCUUCGAAAACUGAGAGACUUGAGGGCUUCAGAGGGACACGGAAUUCCGGGGUGGAGUGGUGGAAAUGCGUAGAGAUCCGGAGGAACACCUGCGGUGUAGACGGCUUUCUUGGACCAUUGUUGACGCUGAGACACGAAAGCGUGGGUAGCAACAGG